rnacentral:rRNA from 1 species
AUUGAACGCUGGCGGCAGGCUUAACACAUGCAAGUCGAACGAGUGGCGGACGGGUGAGUAAUGCCUGGGAAUCUAGCUGAUGGAGGGGGAUAACUACUGGAAACGGUAGCUAAUACCGCAUACCAUAGGAUGAGCCCAAGUGGGAUUAGCUAGUUGGUGGGGUAAAGGCUCACCAAGGCGACGAUCCCUAGCUGGUCUGAGAGGAUGACCAGCCACACUGGGACUGAGACACGGCCCAGACGCCUACGGGAGGCAGCAGUGGGGAAUAUUGCGCAAUGGGGGCAACCCUGACGCAGCCAUGCCGCGUGUAUGAAGAAGGCCUUCGGGUUGUAAAGUUCUUUCGGCAACGAGGCGUUAACAACAGAAGAAGCACCGGCUAACUCCGUGCCAGCAGCCGCGGUAAUAC